rnacentral:sRNA from 1 species
GCCUUUAAGCACUCGUUUCAUCUAAUACAUAAAUGUGCUUAUUUAGAACACUUUCUGAUAUUUUGGACAUGUUAUUAUAGUGUUCCCUCUACUUUCUUCAUACUUGUUAAUAAUGAAAUAAUAUAUGUAAAUAACUAGAUAUAUUGAAAUGCAGAGUUUGUAUUUAGUUAUAUUGUUUCUCUUUGUUGUAGGGAUGUCAAUAUUCACCUGCGCAAAGUGCGUGAUGUAAUGAUGAAAGCCAAGGUGUGGUGGAAAAUGGAUGAGCUCAAGACAAAAGUAGCACUACUGCUAAAAGAAAAAGAAGACCUUGAAACAGAUUUUGGACUUAAACGUGCCAAAUUUAGAGAACUAUUUCUACAAAAGGAAAGUGAGC